GCCUGGUGUACUUAACGCUUGUCUAAUAUUUUGUGUAUAAAUGUAUCAGAAAAGAAUAGGAAAUUUAUAGAAGAUUUGAUCCGAGACUGGAUAAAUUAAGAUGGCAAAAAUUACGUUUGCUCUUUUAAUGGUGAUCAUGAUGUUAGGUAUCAUUCCUAACGACAUACUAGCUGAACCUGGCGAUGUACACCACCAUCGUCGAAUUGAUUACCAUCGUCAUGUUCAUCAUCACCACCAUCGAAGACGUUGGUGGGGGAAACGGGAUGUAGAAAACCUUGAUUUGGCGGAGAUCGAACGAUCCUUGGAGGAAAAUAUUAACAAGUACUCCAACUAAAGUACCAGUGAUUGUGUAAAAUGGAGGUGAAUAAAACAAAAUAAUGCAGAUA